UUCCAGAAGCUCACUACUAGUUAUCUCACAUCACAUGGGCUGGCGCUAUCAUUUCCCCUCCAAAUCCCUAACCUAAUAUCUUCGUGAGAGAGAUCCCCUCAUUUUUAGUAUCAGAAUAAGGGGCGAUUUUUAAAUCUAAUAUAUUGAUUGCAUUUACUGAUUUGGUUUUCAAAUCUGCGAACUCGUCUGAUUUACUAGUUUCUGAGACGAUGUUACAAUGGAUGAGAGGUCCAAGGAGGAAAAUGGCAAACGGUGAUGGCCUUCAAGUAAAAGUCAACAAGCUUUCAUCUGCAAAGCUUAGGUAGGGAUGGGAAUCGCAGCAUCAACCCGGAAAAUUAUAAGUCGAAAGUAAGAAGAUGAAGAAGAGGAUGAGAAUAUGGAUGUUAAUACUGCUAAGUUUAUACCUUCUAAUGAUCCUGCCAAGGCAAAAUUCAACAUACAAAUCUCUUCGAUAUGGUAUCUUAGAGUUGGAAAGACCUGUUGGAAUUGAAGGGAUCAUUGUUUAUUAGAUAGGGUGAUAGCCCUUAAGUAGAAGUCAACAAGCUUUUAUCUAAAAAGAUGCAACUUCCCUAUGACUACUAUAUUCACAGAUAUUGUAACAAUUAUGAAGUAUGAACAGUGCUGAACUCUCCGAGGUGAUCGGUAUUAGGAGUCCAUUUACACAGUGAGACCUACUUCAUUUUUGGUUUUAUAUCCAAUCCUUCGCUCGAUUGCUUGUGCUUAGAAGGCUGCUGUUCUUCACCAAUGGUUCCAUGUUUUAUUUUGGUUUCUUACUUGUAUUCCAGUUCUUACUUGCAAAGUUGCAUGCCGUAUGAAGCUUGCUGCCGAAGCUUCAAAGAGUUUUAAGGAGAAAAUCGAUGAUGAGACCGAGCAAACAUAGCAAAGAUGAAAAUAUUUCAUCAACCACCACCUCAGCUUCAAAGUCAUUUAUCACAUGGAUUCCAAGACUGAUAUGGCCCACAUCGCUGUUCUCGAGGUUACUCCAUACAGUUCUCACUGUUUCUGAAAGAUUAUCAUGAAAGGAAGAGAAGAGUGCUCAAUUAGUUACACGCAAUCCAACCACCAAAGUCAUGAGAUAAGGUUGUACAUUUCCUCAGAAGGUUGAUGCAGAUAAAGAGGUCAUAUUCACAUAUGAUCUUUCUUUUCAGGUACUUCUCUUUUCGCACCUUUGCUUCUGCUCGUAUCUGUUCCAUUAGUUUUUAUUGGUAGUUACUCGGGAUUCAAAAGCCAGCAAUCGAGGAUCCCGUCAAGACAAACAAGGUUCCAAGAGAAAUACAUGAAGCCAGUCUUUUCUGUUGUUAUUGGAGGAAUACUUCCAUAUGGUGCAGUCUCCAUUGAACUUUUCAUCAUCUUAACACCAAUAUGGCUCAACCAAUUCUGCUACAUUUUUGGUUGUGUUCGUCUUUGUUUUCCUUCUGGUCACUUGUGCGGAGAUAACGAUCGUGCUCAGUUACUUCCAGCUCUGCUGUGAAGACAAAUAUUUUUGGUGGAGGGCUUAUUUGACAUAUGGUUCAUCCACGGUUUACCUCUUCGGCUGCCAGGUCUUUCACCUUAAGCUGGAAAUAACCAAAUUGGAAGAUCUACUCUGAAGAUUAGCUGACGACGUGAAAGCAGACCCGAAAUUUUGAUUUUGAUGAGAGAGCGUGAGAGUGAGAGAGGUGGGUAAUAUUUAAGAAAAAUGAAACUAAAGUUCAGUAGAGUAGGCGUCGAGUUGAUGAUGAUCUACAACAAUGUUAAUGCAGCAUGAACCCAAAAUCAGAAUAAGAAGAUGAACCCAAAAUCAGAAUAAGAAGAUGAACCCAAAAUCAGAAUAAAGAAGAUGAAGAUUCUGUAGAAGAGGAUGAGAAUUUGGAGUUGGGAAAAAUGCAGUAAUUUGCAUUUAAACCCCUACUUUAUAAAAAUUUUGAUGAUUCUCUGUGCUUUUGAUUCUUUGAAUUUAUGAUAUGUAUCCUGAAAUGUGACAUUACUCAUUGGAAUAGAAAUGUUCAUUGCCUCAUUAUA